CUGUUCUCAACUUUCUCCUGGAGAUAGGCAGCCUCACAAGAAGCCCAAGGAUAUCUGCCUGCUCUGACUCCCACUCUGAGAUGGCUGCCCUCCCUUUUCCUUGGCCAUGCCUUCCUGCUGCAGGGCUCUGAGCACUUGUAAGAC
rfam:Loxodonta africana cont3.83230, whole genome shotgun sequence.